CGGACAGAUGGGAGCUUGCUCCCUGAUGUUAGCGGCGGACGGGUGAGUAACACGUGGGUAACCUGCCUGUAAGACUGGGAUAACUCCGGGAAACCGGGGCUAAUACCGGAUGGUUGUUUGAACCGCAUGGUUCAGACAUAAAAGGUGGCUUCGGCUACCACUUACAGAUGGACCCGCGGCGCAUUAGCUAGUUGGUGAGGUAACGGCUCACCAAGGCGACGAUGCGUAGCCGACCUGAGAGGGUGAUCGGCCACACUGGGACUGAGACACGGCCCAGACUCCUACGGGAGGCAGCAGUAGGGAAUCUUCCGCAAUGGACGAAAGUCUGACGGAGCAACGCCGCGUGAGUGAUGAAGGUUUUCGGAUCGUAAAGCUCUGUUGUUAGGGAAGAACAAGUGCCGUUCAAAUAGGGCGGCACCUUGACGGUACCUAACCAGAAAGCCACGGCUAACUACGUGCCAGCAGCCGCGGUAAUACGUAGGUGGCAAGCGUUGUCCGGAAUUAUUGGGCGUAAAGGGCUCGCAGGCGGUUUCUUAAGUCUGAUGUGAAAGCCCCCGGCUCAACCGGGGAGGGUCAUUGGAAACUGGGGAACUUGAGUGCAGAAGAGGAGAGUGGAAUUCCACGUGUAGCGGUGAAAUGCGUAGAGAUGUGGAGGAACACCAGUGGCGAAGGCGACUCUCUGGUCUGUAACUGACGCUGAGGAGCGAAAGCGUGGGGAGCGAACAGGAUUAGAUACCCUGGUAGUCCACGCCGUAAACGAUGAGUGCUAAGUGUUAGGGGGUUUCCGCCCCUUAGUGCUGCAGCUAACGCAUUAAGCACUCCGCCUGGGGAGUACGGUCGCAAGACUGAAACUCAAAGGAAUUGACGGGGG
rnacentral:rRNA from 1 species